GGCGGCGUGCUUAACACAUGCAAGUCGAACGAGAACGGGUUAUAGCUUGCUAUAACUGUCAGCUAAGUGGCGCACGGGUGAGUAAUGUAUAGUUAACCUGCCCUCUAGAAAGGAAUAACAGUUGGAAACGACUGCUAAUGCCCUAUAUGCCUUUAAGACAUAAGUCUGCAAGGGAAACGCUUUAGUGCUAGAGGAUGGGACUGUAUGGUAUCAGCUAGUUGGUGAGGUAAAGGCUCACCAAGGCAAUGACGCCUAACUGGUUUGAGAGGAUGAUCAGUCACACUGGAACUGAGACACGGUCCAGACUCCUACGGGAGGCAGCAGUGGGGAAUAUUGCACAAUGGAGGAAACUCUGAUGCAGCAACGCCGCGUGGAGGAUGACACUUUUCGGAGCGUAAACUCCUUUUAUAUAGGAAGAUAAUGACGGUACUAUAUGAAUAAGCACCGGCUAACUCCGUGCCAGCAGCCGCGGUAAUACGGAGGGUGCAAGCGUUACUCGGAAUCACUGGGCGUAAAGAGCGUGUAGGCGGGUUAAUAAGUUUGAAGUGAAAUCCUAUGGCUCAACCAUAGAACUGCUUUGAAAACUGUUAAC
rnacentral:rRNA from 1 species